UGGGGAAUAUUGCGCAAUGGGGGAAACCCUGACGCAGCGACGCCGCGUGAGCGAUGAAGGCCUUAGGGUUGUAAAGCUCUGUUUUAAGGGACGAAUGUUACGGGGAGUAAUAUACCCUGUAAAUGACGGUACCUUAAGAGGAAGCCCCGGCUAACUACGUGCCAGCAGCCGCGGUAAGACGUAGGGGGCGAGCGUUGUCCGGAAUUACUGGGCGUAAAGAGCACGUAGGCGGGAACUUAAGUCAGGUGUGAAAGACCGGGGCUCAA
rnacentral:rRNA from 1 species